GAACGAUUGGCUCAGUUGGUUAUAGCACCGGCACGCAACGCCGGAGGUCGUGGGUUCGAGUCCCACAUCGUUCA